rnacentral:rRNA from 1 species
GUGCCAGCCGCCGCGGUAAUACGGAAGGUCCGGGCGUUAUCCGGAUUUAUUGGGUUUAAAGGGAGCGCAGGCGGGGCUUUAAGCGUGACGUGAAAUGCCGCGGCCCAACCGUGGAAGUGCGUCGCGAACUGGAGCUCUUGAGUUGCGGCGAUGUGCGCGGAAUUCGUGGUGUAGCGGUGAAAUGCUUAGAUAUCACGAAGAACCCCGAUUGCGAAGGCAGCGCGCAAGCCGUGGACUGACGCUGAGGCUCGAAGGUGCGGGUAUCGAACAGGAUUAGAUACCCUGGUAGUCCGCACGGUAAACGAUGGACGCCCGCUGUCGUGCCAUUAUGGUUCGGCGGCCAAGCGAAAGCGUUAAGCGUCCCACCUGGGGAGUACGCCGGCAACGGUGAAACUCAAAGGAAUUGACGGGGGCCCGCACAAGCGGAGGAACAUGUGGUUUAAUUCGAUGAUACGCGAGGAACCUUACCCGGGCUUGAACUGCACAGGAAAGAUCCAGAGAUGGUGAUGCCCUUCGGGGCCUGUGUGGAGGUGCUGCAUGGUUGUCGUCAGCUCGUGCCGUGAGGUGUCGGCUUAAGUGCCAUAACGAGCGCAACCCCUGCCUUCAGUUGCCAUCGGGUUAUGCCGGGCACUCUGGAGGGACUGCCACCGCAAGGUGUGAGGAAGGUGGGGAUGACGUCAAAUCAGCACGGCCCUUACGUCCGGGGCUACACACGUGUUACAAUGGCCGGCACAGAGAGCAGGCCGCCCGCAAGGUCGGCCGAAUCAUGAAAUCCGGUCUCAGUUCGGAUUGGGGUCUGCAACCCGACCCCAUGAAGCUGGAUUCGCUAGUAAUCGCGCAUCAGCCAUGGCGCGGUGAAUACGUUCCCGGGCCUUGUACACACCGCCCGU